rnacentral:lncRNA from 10 species
ACUGAAGCCCGAGCCGAGCCGAGCCCGAGCCGCCGCCGCCGCCGCCGCUGCUGCGCACCGCUCCCGGGCUCCCUCCCAGCGCGCCGGCCGGGGUGUGGGGGGCGGCGGGCCGGAGGGGCGAGGGCGGGCCAGGGGGCGCACACGGGGGUUGGCGCGGAAGACAGGACCCUCAGCCUCGAGGGAGCCCCUAGGUGACCAGGCAAAAUGGCAGUUCCUUCCAGCUGGUCCUCAGAUGGGCACAUCUAUUAGCCUCUGCUCUUGUAAGAAGUUAGCUGCAGAACCCACAUGUGAAUCCUUGUAGGACUCUGGAGAAGAUCAAAUGGGAGCUUAGAUGUGGAAGCUCUUUGGAAACCAAGAAACACUCUGAAAAUGAAAAGGGUGGAAGAGUAAACUGUUCCUGUUUCUCCAUCUUGACAGGAAGCAGAAGUUCUCCUUAGCUGAUUUUUCUUCUUGCCUUAUACUGGGUUCUUUAACACCAGAACAAAAAUAAAUAAAUAAAAGAAUCUUCCAGAAAUUCAUGAAGAGACUUCAGGUCAGGAAAGCCUGAACUUUCUCAUCCAACACCCGUUCAAGUCGGAGGAUGCUGAUUAAUUCAUGAUGGAAAGGUAUCAAUUUCACAGCCCAGACCUCUACAUUCUUGAAAUGCUCUUCUCAUGGGAGACAUUAAAUAAGCUUUGAAUUAACUGAGACCUCUGUGGAUUCUAUAACUCAAAGACCCAGGCUGACGGCUGGUGGAAUAGCUACCAUCUCAAACAUGGCGUGAUGCUGCAUCAGAGAGAAAAAUAAGCUCUUGCAUUGACAAUGAAAUGUCUACCCUGUAGUGACUUGUGCUUACUUCCACUCACAAGUGAUUGCCCAGAGCUACUUACCUGGCUCCAAUCUACCACUGGGUCAGACGUUUGCUGAAUUCAGUUCUGAGCUUUUGAACCAAAAGCAGAUCUUCAGAACAAGAAACAAGAUAAUAAAAGAGAAACAUGAAGAAACUGAAGAUGAUUGGAGAAAUAUGAAUCAAGAUGAUUAGACCUAGCAGAGGGCUGGCUGGAUGGCAUUUAUGUUGACAAUGGACUCCUACACAGAGGAUGAUCAUGGUCUAGGACAUAAUAGUCAUUCAAUCAUCAUUUCUUAAAUGAUUUUUUAAAACAAGUGAAUGAAUGACCAAUUAUAUACCUUCCCUGAGCCAAUAAAAUAUAUUAAAAGUAUAGGCCUGGGCACAGUGGCUCAUGCCUGUAAUUCCAGCACUUUGGGAGGCUGAGGUGGGCGGAUCACGAGGUCAGGAGUUCAAGACCAUCCUGGCCAACAUGGUGAAACCCUGUCUCUACUAAAAAUACAAAAAUUAGCUGGGCAGUGUGGCAUGUGCCUGUAAUCCCAGCUACUCGGGAGGCUGAGGCAGGAGAAUCUCUUGAACCAGGGAGUUGGAGGUUGCAGUGAGCCAAGAUCG